rnacentral:rRNA from 1 species
UACGUAGGGGGCAAGCGUUGUCCGGAUUUAUUGGGCGUAAAGAGCUCGUAGGCGGUUUGUCGCGUCUGCUGUGAAAACCCGAGGCUCAACCUCGGGCCUGCAGUGGGUACGGGCGGACUAGAGUGCGGUAGGGGAGAUUGGAAUUCCUGGUGUAGCGGUGAAAUGCGCAGAUAUCAGGAGGAACACCGGUGGCGAAGGCGGAGCUCUGGGCCAUUACUGACGCUGAGGAGCGAAAGCGUGGGGAGCGAACAGG